rnacentral:snoRNA from 1 species
CCUCCUGUUCCACCUUGCCCCCCUCCGAAUGAAGCCGCAGGAUUUUCCUUAUAUGAUUGGGCCCCGGGGCUUGGCAGCGCCGCUGGCCCGGGGCCUGAGAGGAUUAUAAUACGUUUCUGGCGAGGUGGGGGCCGGGAACGGGGG